UGCCCAUAAUUUUGUAUUAUCAUACACGUAUAUAAUAUUUUUGUGUAGAACAAAUCGAUUUAUAUAUUCGUACAACAGGUACACAAAAUUCUCAUGCAAUAUCCAUGGAAAUAAACCUUUGAUUCGCAGAUUCAGGCAGCACAAGAUUUGAUGAAUCGACUGAUCAACCUUACCAUUGUUCAAUCUAAACUCUUAAGGUCCACGAAGGUUAAACCAUUAAAGUUCUCAACAUACAAUUUUUCUACCAGAUAAAAUGAACGGUUCGUUUGUGGAAAUCCCCUGGGCAAAUAUCAUUGAAUAGAAGAUGGAAUUGCAAAUUCUCAACGUCCUAACGCAAAAUUCUGAACAAUAUACAUCUGCUGGAACGCUGAUCUAAAAUAAAUUAUUUCUGCUUCAUGAUCUAAAACCUCAAUUUCCCACUAUUUUUCAUUCUUUCUUUUUAGAUAUUUUACUUUUCUCAACCCAAUACAUACAAAACAGGCAAAGUUAAAUACCAUUUCAAUCCAAAUGCAUCAGCCUUUAAGAAUUAUCUAAGCUAAACAGUCAGUAGCAUUGAUUUGCUUGUAUGCCUCUUCCGUGUUUUCGUCUUGCUACGCUUAAUUGGAAACCAAUUCAGAUCAUCAAUGCAGUUCAAAUCACACCCUACUUGUCCCCACCUCCAAACAUCCCCAUCAUAUCCUUUGCAGAACCCAUUUGCUUCAUUAGAUUUUGCAAGCCACCCAUUCCACCAAUUUGCUUCAGCAUCUGU
rnacentral:misc_RNA from 1 species